AAUAGUAAACCUUCGAUGAACGUAAAACGACCUGUAAAGUGAAUCAAUUUAAAGUUACUAGAAGCUUGAACGGAAAUAUCGGACAUUUUUCAAAGUAUAAUAAAGAUACAUCGCUUUAUACUAAUGAAGUUUUAAUAGUUAAGGAAAUUUAGCUUAACGCUUCCUGUGUUUACUUGUCUCUACUUGGCGCAGCUAUAUCAGCAGACGUUGCUGGCCAUCCCUGUGUACAUAAUUGCAACCCUGUCUAAUGACUGUCCAUCAAAACGAACGGCUAUCUGUGGAGUUUCCGCUUGGAGAGGCCGGUGCAUUCGCAUGCGACUUGGUCAGAGUCCGGUUACACGCAUCAUACUGAACAGAUAAGAAAGGAAAUCGCGAUGGCCGGGACAGAGAGGAGGCCUGGUUGCGACGCGAUUCUCGCGAGGCCGCGCAGGACGAUGAUUGUCUGCGACGGAGGAGGC
rnacentral:misc_RNA from 1 species